CUUUUGCCUGUUUGAAUUUACAGACACCUCGAAACAUGAAGAUGUAAUGGCUUCUAAGAGACGUAUCAAGGUGUUGGUUGCUUCUGUGCAGAUAUGGAACGUGGUUAAAGUUUUAUAAUGGAAAAUCUGACAGGCAGUUAACUAAUCCAUGAGUCAUAUUUCAUGACUGCAUGCUGCCCUUUUAUACCUGCAAGAAUGAGCGCUGCACUUACUGAAACAGGGAAGUCUACUGCCUGCCUUUCCACCCCUCUCUCUCUGUGGCUGUUUACAGAACUGCAGAGGUACGUUGAACGAAACUGACUUAAAUGACAGCAGUGGAAGACUUUCUGCUUAGUUUAAGUCCUCUGUAGGGCCUAGCUGAAAGGUAAGGAGAGGGGUGGGCAGAUGUUUUUGGAUUCUGUUUGCUUUUAUUUUGAAAGAUUUAAUCAUCAGUACAGCUCUAAUAAUGUACAUAGCAUUGGAGCUAUCAAUACUAACAGAACUCUGGUGUUUUUACCUGUCUGUAGCUCAGUUGGGCAUAAGGCAGGCCAGGCAGAUACAGAAUGAGACAACCUUUUGUCAGAUGAUCCCAAACGGGAAACCCACCUUUACUGACAACAGUGGCAGUGUGCCAGCAUUAGCAGUGUCGAGGUGUUUAUAGAAAGUCUUGAUGUGUAGAGGGCCCUUCUGGAGAACCUACUACUUUAUUCCUCAGCCAAAGGGUAGAAAAGCAACUAUUUGCUUUUUUGGGUACCAUAAGGAACUUCUCAAGUUGCCCAGUAUGACAGUAAAGAAUAUUGGCAUCGCUGUUAUUUUCAAAGCUAAAAUAAGGCAGACACAUGACUUCAGUAAGCACAUGUGAAGUUUGCAUAUCAUAAAUCAUUGCAAUAAAGAAACCAAAACAAAAUAGUAGUGUGUCGUUAAAGCUGGAAUAUGUUUUCCAUUAAAAAAAUUUCCUUUAGGUUUGAUUUGGCUUCUUUUUCACACCUGUGGAACAGUAAAGUAUUUCAGGAAUAGCUCAUUGCCAUUGUGAGACACAAAGUUCCAAUCUACAUGAAUGGACCCACGUACUGUAUAAAGUACAGCAGAAGGUCAUCUUAUUUUUCAAACACUCCAGCAACAGCAGCCUUUACUGCACUACCAAAUAGUAGGCAACAAUUAGAACAGCUGGGAAGACAAAUCAGAAAAAAGAAAGUGGAGGAAAAGAGCUGUGUCCCAAGCUUUUACUUUGGCUGCCAUUUUAAGAAGCGCACCCUUUUCCAUAAUAACAAUUUUGUAAUUGUGUUUUAAGAUCACAUCAGACAUUAGGGGUGAUACAUGUGCAGCAUGUGAGAUUCAUGCUGUGUGCUGAGAACUGCCCAGUGAGGGUCUGGCACAGUGGGAGGGGAAAGACGUGCAGCCUGCCUGUAGGCACCAGCAUGGAGGUUAGUCAUCCUGCUGAGUCAACAGGAG
ensembl:lncRNA